CGACACAAUAACAUCGUAAUGAUAUUAUCUUAAUAUAUUUAUAAAUAAAUAACUGAGUAGUUAAAGUGCAGUGUUUAUUUGAAGAUGAAUAAAAUAAAAGAACAAGACUGGCACGACACAAAUAAUCUUGGUAGCCUCCAACUGAUGUUCACAGAUUUCGAUCAUUGGAUAUGUAGAUUAAAAAAACACAUUCAACUAAGAAACGAACUUUCUACCUCUAGACGUUCUGAAGUUAAGGGAAGCGAUAACAUUACUACGAAUGUAAUAGACCUUAUUUUAAAUAAUAUCAUUGUCAAUGGUAUUAUAUUAAAAGAAAUACUAAAAUAUAGAACUGAUGCAAGUAAAAUAACAAACUUAAAAGAUAAAAAUGAUUUGAUUGAAUUUGAUUAUGUUAUUUAUAGUCUAUUAAAUAAUUAUAUCAAAUGUAAGCUAUGAUUGUACACUUAACGUGGGUUUCUGAGGCCGAAAAUAAUCUUAUAAAACAUAUCUCUGUUGUAUUAAAGAUAAACAAGGAUGACGAUAUGUUUUAUACAUAUGUUUUUGGUCUCAGAAACCAACGGUUAGACAUUGUUACAAUAUUGUGUUCUAGUGGAAUAUUUUAAAUUUAAUGGAGAUAGCAAUUCCUAGAUUCUAUGACAGAUUGUGUCAUAUUUAAUGAGACAAACAUAUCAUUGGGCCUAGCAGGAAGUACGUUUGGGAAAAGUACUGGUGUGAAUUUCGAUAGAAUUAUGAUUAAGGGUGGUAAUUUGUAAAUAUAUUAAACUUUACAUUAGUUGUUUGUUUUUGA